rnacentral:misc_RNA from 1 species
GAAAUGCGAUAAGUAGUGUGAAUUGCAGAAUUCAGUGAAUCAUCGAAUCUUUGAACGCACAUUGCGCCCCUUGGUAUUCCAUGGGGCAUGCCUGUUCGAGCGUCAUUUGUACCCUCAAGCUCUGCUUGAUGUUGGGUGUUUGUCCCGUCUCCGCGCGUGGACUCGCCCCAAAGUGAUUGGCAGCCGGCGUACUGGUCCCGGAGCGCAGCACAUGUCGCGCAAACGAGUGCCUUGGUACGGCGGCGUCCAUAAGCCCCUCUCUCACGCUCUUGACCUCGGAUCAGGUAGGGAUACCCGCUGAACUUAAGC